UACAAACCUAAUUUAAAGAUCAAACUAGAAGAGUGGUUCUAAGAAAAGAGGAAAAGAUCCCUUCCCAAGGCAACUGGAAAGAUUCAGCAUCUUGAGAGCUCAAGUUGGAAAGAAUAGUAGCUAUAAGAGUUCAAGCAAAGAUUUGAGAAAGUGUGGAAGAUUAAUCUGGGAUAAAUGGAUCUGACAAAUGCAUAGGAAAUAAGAAACAGAUGUUUUAUGUGCCCACCGACUGACCUUAGGAUGCAUUCGGGAGUCUGGAAAGAUUUGCUGAAAAUAACAGUUCCAAACUUCUCCAUUGGUGUUGCCGGUCUUUCACUGCCCAAAACACUGAGUGUAAUUAGAACAAGUGGACCAGGAGCUAUUGUUCUUUCACAGAAGAGGAAGGUUGUGCCACCUUUGAACAUCAUUAUGUCAUCUGCAAGACAAGAACUUUUUACUGAGUUCACCCAAGACAAUAGAUCCAGAAGAAUGGUUGAUUUGUUUUGUUAAAAUAUAUGAUCCUCACAGGUAUAGCUACUAAGGAAAGGAAGAUGAAUGGAACAGAAAUGAGAUAAGAAGAACUUUACCACUGAGCCAGGCCAAGUAGUGUGACUAGAAAACUGUGAAGUUCAACACUGCCAAGAACUCCCUUUGUCCCCAUGGGAAUUUCCUGUGCAACUGGGCCAUUCAGCUUUCACUUCCUGAAUGACACAAACUUGGAUUGCAUAACUCUGUUCAUUGAGUGUACAUUAAAUGCACACACUAGUCCAAUGCUGCAUAUAAAGGUUCUGAUCAUUUCAAACCUGGGAAGUUUUCUUAAGGAAUAAACAGAACCUUUUUGAAGAACGCUUUUAACUAUAAUUAAUCUCUUUUGUUAGUUGUUAGUUGUAAGAAUGUGACUUGAGGAAAAUGAUUAUAGGGGCUGAUGGUUUUCUUUCUAGGAUUAGAGUCAUUAGGGGUUGCCUUCAUAAGUUAGCUAUAUUAUUGAUAUAUUAAUAAUACAGCUUCCAAUUAAUUAAUUUCUACUCCAUGAUUCUACUUAACAUGCCAUUUCUUAAUGCCCUACCUUUUGUUUCAAGUUCAUAGAAAGAAAAUGUAGACGGGGUGAUUACUCGGGGGCUGAAAGAAGAUAGGAUGGGAAGUUGAGUUAUGCAGAAUAAAGGUUGGGGUUUCUAGAGAUCUAUAUAUACAACUGUGUUAUCAGAAAACCUAUGUUUAAUACUUGGAAGGCAAAGUUAUUGUUAAGUAGCUUUUGUGAUACUAAAAUGUGCCAAUAAAAUCAUUUUCAUUGAUGGGUUAAUAUUCAA